rnacentral:ncRNA from 1 species
UUUGCUAUCGUACAAAAGAAAGCUACUCAAAUAGUUAGAAACAAUGAAAGCAUAGCAUGAGUGGCUGAUUAAAUCACAUAUGAUCUUACAACUUGGAUAACUGUGGUAUUUCUGGAGCUAAUACAUGCAGCAGAGCUCCUGCCCUCUGGGGGAUGAGUGCUUUUAUUAGACCAAAAUUAAUCAGACUUCGUGUCUGUAUUAUGUGGUGACUUUGUAUAACUUUGGCCCGAUUGCACUGGCUCGUCCCUGCGACGUAUCUUUCGAGUGUCUGCAUUAUCAACUGUCGAUAGUAGGUUAUGCGUCUACCAUGGUCAUAAUGGGUGACGGGAAUCAGGGUUCAAUUCCAGAGAGGGAGACUGAGGAAUGGCUACCGCAUCCAAGGAAGGCAGUAGGUGUGAAAAUUACCCACUCCCAGGACAGGGAGGUAGUGAUGAAAAAUAAAACUAUGGGACUCUUUUGAGACCCCAUAACUGGAAUGAGUACAACUCUAAAUCAUAUAAAGAGGAUCAACAGAGGACAAAUCUGGAGCCAGCAUGCAUGGUAAUUCCAGCUGCAAUAUCAUA